GGUAGUCCACGCCGUAAACGUUGGGCGCUAGCUGUGGGCUCCAUUCCACGGAGUCCGUGACGAAGUUAACACAUUAAGCGCCCCGCCUGGGGAGUACGGCCGCAAGGCUAAAACUCAAAGGAAUUGACGGGGGCCCGCACAAGCGGCGGAGCAUGCGGAUUAAUUCGAUGCAACGCGAAGAACCUUACCAAGUCUUGACAUAUAGAGGAAAAGUGCAGAAAUGUACUCCCCGCAAGGUCUCUAUACAGGUGGUGCAUGGUUGUCGUCAGCUCGUGUCGUGAGAUGUUGGGUUAAGUCCCGCAACGAGCGCAACCCUCGUCCUAUGUUGCCAGCACGUUAUGGUGGGAACUCAUGGGAGACUGCCGGCGUCAAACCGGAGGAAGGUGGGGAUGACGUCAAAUCAUCAUGCCCCUUAUGACUUGGGCUUCACGCAUGCUACAAUGGCCGGUACAAAGGGCUGCAAUACCGUAAGGUGGAGCGAAUCCCAAAAAGCCGGUCUCAGUUCGGAUUGAGGUCUGCAACUCGACCUCAUGAAGUUGGAGUCGCUAGUAAUCGCAGAUCAGCAACGCUGCGGUGAAUACGUUCCCGGGCCUUGUACACACCGCCCGUCAAGUCACGAAAGUCGGUAACACCCGAAGCCGGUGGCCUAACCGUAA
rnacentral:rRNA from 1 species